rnacentral:rRNA from 1 species
UUAGAGUUUGAUCCUGGCUCAGGAUGAACGCCCUCGGCAGGCUUAACACAUGCAAGUCGAGGGGCAGCGAGAUCAGUGCUUGCACUGAUUGUCGGCGACCGGCGCACGGGUGCGUAACGCGUAUGCAACCUACCCAUUACAGGGGGAUAACACUGAGAAAUCGGUACUAAUACCCCAUAACAUCCAGGGAGGCAUCUUCUUGGGUUGAAAACUCCGGUGGUAAUGGAUGGGCAUGCGUUGUAUUAGUUAGUUGGUGGGGUAACGGCUCACCAAGACAACGAUACAUAGGGGGACUGAGAGGUUAACCCCCCACAUUGGUACUGAGACACGGACCAAACUCCUACGGGAGGCAGCAGUGAGGAAUAUUGGUCAAUGGACGCAAGUCUGAACCAGCCAUGCCGCGUGCAGGAAGACGGCUCUAUGAGUUGUAAACUGCUUUUGUACGAGGGUAAACGCAGAUACGCGUAUCUGUCUGAAAGUAUCGUACGAAUAAGGAUCGGCUAACUCCGUGCCAGCAGCCGCGGUAAUACGGAGGAUUCAAGCGUUAUCCGGAUUUAUUGGGUUUAAAGGGUGCGUAGGCGGUCGGAUAAGUUAGAGGUGAAAUCCCGGGGCUCAACUUCGGAAUUGCCUCUGAUACUGUUCGGCUAGAGAGUAGUUGCGGUAGGCGGAAUGUAUGGUGUAGCGGUGAAAUGCUUAGAGAUCAUACAGAACACCGAUUGCGAGGGCAGCUUACCAAGCUACUUCUGACGUUGAGGCACGAAAGCGUGGGGAGCAAACAGGAUUAGAUACCCUGGUAGUCCACGCAGUAAACGAUGAUAACUCGUUGUCGGCGAUACAGUGUCGGUGACUAAGCGAAAGCGAUAAGUUAUCCACCUGGGGAGUACGUUCGCAAGAAUGAAACUCAAAGGAAUUGACGGGGGCCCGCACAAGCGGAGGAACAUGUGGUUUAAUUCGAUGAUACGCGAGGAACCUUACCCGGGCUUGAAAGUUAGUGACGGAUCUUGAAAGAGGUCUUCCCUUCGGGGCACGAAACUAGGUGCUGCAUGGUUGUCGUCAGCUCGUGCCGUGAGGUGUCGGGUUAAGUCCCAUAACGAGCGCAACCCCUACCGUUAGUUGCCAGCAGGUCAAGCUGGGCACUCUGACGGGACUGCCGGUGUAAGCCGAGAGGAAGGUGGGGAUGACGUCAAAUCAGCACGGCCCUUACGUCCGGGGCUACACACGUGUUACAAUGGCAGGUACAGAGGGCAGCUACCCAGCGAUGGGAUGCGAAUCUCGAAAGCCUGUCUCAGUUCGGAUUGGAGGCUGAAACCCGCCUCCAUGAAGUUGGAUUCGCUAGUAAUCGCGCAUCAGCCAUGGCGCGGUGAAUACGUUCCCGGGCCUUGCACUCACCGCCCGUCAAG